AAUGAACGCUGGCGGCGCGCCUAAUACAUGCAAGUCGAGCGAGAAGACGUAGCAAUACGUUUGUAAAGCGGCGAACGGGUGAGGAAUACAUGGGUAACCUACCCUAGAGUGGGGAAUAACUAGCCGAAAGGUUAGCUAAUACCGCGUACGCUCCUUGGACUUCGGUUCAGGGAGGAAAGCGAUGCCGAGGGUAUCGCGCUCUUGGAUGGGCUCAUGUCCUAUCAGCUUGUUGGNGAGGUAACGGCUCACCAAGGCUUCGACGGGUAGCUGGUCUGAGAGGACGAUCAGCCACACUGGCACUGCGACACGGGCCAGACUCCUACGGGAGGCAGCAGUAAGGAAUAUUGCGCAAUGGGCGAAAGCCUGACGCAGCGACGCCGCGUGGGGGAUGAA
rnacentral:rRNA from 1 species